AGUGAACGCUGGCGGUAGGCCUAACACAUGCAAGUCGAACGGCAGCACAGUAAGAGCUUGCUCUUACGGGUGGCGAGUGGCGGACGGGUGAGGAAUACAUCGGAAUCUACUUUUUCGUGGGGGAUAACGUAGGGAAACUUACGCUAAUACCGCAUACGACCUACGGGUGAAAGCAGGGGAUCUUCGGACCUUGCGCGAUUGAAUGAGCCGAUGUCGGAUUAGCUAGUUGGCGGGGUAAAGGCCCACCAAGGCGACGAUCCGUAGCUGGUCUGAGGGGAUGAUCAGCCACACUGGAACUGAGACACGGUCCAGACUCCUACGGGAGGUAGCAGUGGGGAAUAUUGGACAAUGGGCGCAAGCCUGAUCCAGCCAUACCGCGUGGGUGAAGAAGGCCUUCGGGUUGUAAAGCCCUUUUGUUGGGAAAGAAAAGCAGCAGGUUAAUACCCCGCUGUUCUGACGGUACCCAAAGAAUAAGCACCGGCUAACUUCGUG
rnacentral:rRNA from 1 species